GGGGGUAUGGCUCAAUGGUAGAGUGUGUGCUUAGCAUGCACGAGGUCCUGGGUUCAAUUCCCAGCAUCUCCA
rnacentral:tRNA from 1 species